CUGUGAGCUCGAUGAGUAGGGCGGGACACGUGGUAUCCUGUCUGAAUAUGGGGGGACCAUCCUCCAAGGCUAAAUACUCCUGACUGACCGAUAGUGAACCAGUACCGUGAGGGAAAGGCGAAAAGAACCCCGGCGAGGGGAGUGAAAAAGAACCUGAAACCGUGUACGUACAAGCAGUGGGAGCACGCUUCGGCGUGUGACUGCGUACCUUUUGUAUAAUGGGUCAGCGACUUAUAUUCUGUAGCAAGGUUAACCGAAUAGGGGAGCCGAAGGGAAACCGAGUCUUAACUGGGCGUUAAGUUGCAGGGUAUAGACCCGAAACCCGGUGAUCUAGCCAUGGGCAGGUUGAAGGUUGGGUAACACUAACUGGAGGACCGAACCGACUAAUGUUGAAAAAUUAGCGGAUGACUUGUGGCUGGGGGUGAAAGGCCAAUCAAACCGGGAGAUAGCUGGUUCUCCCCGAAAGCUAUUUAGGUAGCGCCUCGUGAAUUCAUCUCCGGGGGUAGAGCACUGUUUCGGCAAGGGGGUCAUCCCGACUUACCAACCCGAUGCAAACUGCGAAUACCGGAGAAUGUUAUCACGGGAGACACACGGCGGGUGCUAACGUCCGUCGUGAAGAGGGAAACAACCCAGACCGCCAGCUAAGGUCCCAAAGUCAUGGUUAAGUGGGAAACGAUGUGGGAAGGCCCAGACAGCCAGGAUGUUGGCUUAGAAGCAGCCAUCAUUUAAAGAAAGCGUAAUAGCUCACUGGUCGAGUCGGCCUGCGCGGAAGAUGUAACGGGGCUAAACCAUGCACCGAAGCUGCGGCAGCGACRCUAUGYGUUGUUGGGUAGGGGAGCGUUCUGUAAGCCUGYGAAGGUGKSCUGUGAGGSWUGCUGGAGGUAUCAGAAGUGCGAAUGCUGACAUAAGUAACGAUAAAGCGGGUGAAAAGCCCGCUCGCCGGAAGACCAAGGGUUCCUGUCCAACGUUAAUCGGGGCAGGGUGAGUCGACCCCUAAGGCGAGGCCGAAAGGCGUAGUCGAUGGGAAACAGGUUAAUAUUCCUGUACUUGGUGUUACUGCGAAGGGGGGACGGAGAAGGCUAUGUUGGCCGGGCGACGGUUGUCCCGGUUUAAGCGUGUAGGCUGGUUUUCCAGGCAAAUCCGGAAAAUCAAGGCUGAGGCGUGAUGACGAGGCACUACGGUGCUGAAGCAACAAAUGCCCUGCUUCCAGGAAAAGCCUCUAAGCAUCAGGUAACAUCAAAUCGUACCCCAAACCGACACAGGUGGUCAGGUAGAGAAUACCAAGGCGCUUGAGAGAACUCGGGUGAAGGAACUAGGCAAAAUGGUGCCGUAACUUCGGGAGAAGGCACGCUGAUAYGUAGGUGAAGCGACUUGCUCGUGGAGCUGAAAUCAGUCGAAGAUACCAGCUGGCUGCAACUGUUUAUUAAAAACACAGCACUGUGCAAACACGAAAGUGGACGUAUACGGUGUGACGCCUGCCCGGUGCCGGAAGGUUAAUUGAUGGGGUUAGCGGUAACGCGAAGCUCUUGAUCGAAGCCCCGGUAAACGGCGGCCGUAACUAUAACGGUCCUAAGGUAGCGAAAUUCCUUGUCGGGUAAGUUCCGACCUGCACGAAUGGCGUAAUGAUGGCCAGGCUGUCUCCACCCGAGACUCAGUGAAAUUGAACUCGCUGUGAAGAUGCAGUGUACCCGCGGCAAGACGGAAAGACCCCGUGAACCUUUACUAUAGCUUGACACUGAACAUUGAGCCUUGAUGUGUAGGAUAGGUGGGAGGCUUUGAAGUGUGGACGCCAGUCUGCAUGGAGCCGACCUUGAAAUACCACCCUUUAAUGUUUGAUGUUCUAACGUUGGCCCCUGAUCGGGGUUGCGGACAGUGUCUGGUGGGUAGUUUGACUGGGGCGGUCUCCUCCUAAAGAGUAACGGAGGAGCACGAAGGUUGGCUAAUCCUGGUCGGACAUCAGGAGGUUAGUGCAAUGGCAUAAGCCAGCUUGACUGCGAGCGUGACGGCGCGAGCAGGUGCGAAAGCAGGUCAUAGUGAUCCGGUGGUUCUGAAUGGAAGGGCCAUCGCUCAACGGAUAAAAGGUACUCCGGGGAUAACAGGCUGAUACCGCCCAAGAGUUCAUAUCGACGGCGGUGUUUGGCACCUCGAUGUCGGCUCAUCACAUCCUGGGGCUGAAGUAGGUCCCAAGGGUAUGGCUGUUCGCCAUUUAAAGUGGUACGCGAGCUGGGUUUAGAACGUCGUGAGACAGUUCGGUCCCUAUCUGCCGUGGGCGCUGGAGAACUGAGGGGGGCUGCUCCUAGUACGAGAGGACCGGAGUGGACGCAUCACUGGUGUUCGGGUUGUCAUGCCAAUGGCACUGCCCGGUAGCUAAAUGCGGAAGAGAUAAGUGCUGAAAGCAUCUAAGCACGAAACUUGCCCCGAGAUGAGUUCUCCCUGACWCCKUGAGGCU
rnacentral:rRNA from 1 species